AUUGAACGCUGGCGGCAAGCCUAACACAUGCAAGUCGAACGAGUGGCGGACGGGUGAGUAAUGUCUGGGAAACUGCCCGAUGGCGGGGGAUAACUACUGGAAACGGUAGCUAAUACCGCAUACCCUCGGAUGUGCCCAGAUGGGAUUAGCUAGUAGGUGGGGUAACGGCUCACCUAGGCGACGAUCCCUAGCUGGUCUGAGAGGAUGACCAGCCACACUGGGACUGAGAAACGGUCCAGACUCCGACGGGAGGCAGCAGUGGGGAAUAUUGCACAAUGGGCGCAAGCCUGAUGCAGCCAUGCCGCGUGUAUGAAGAAGGCCGUCGGGUUGUAAAGUACUUUCAGCGGGGAGGCGUUACCCGCAGAAGAAGCACCGGCUAACUCCGUGCCAGCAGCCGCGGUAAUUC
rnacentral:rRNA from 1 species